GAGGCUCCCAAAGAGCUUCCUGUCACACACACACACACACACACACACACACACACACACACACACACGAGCAUAGGCGCACACACAGGCGCAGAAAACAGGUACAUACGUACACACACACGCGCGAGACACACGGGGGCAAACGCGCGCGUGCGCACACUCACGCAUCAGCAUAAGUUUUGCUCCAAGACUCCCACGGAGACAAGAUGUGGUCGUAUACCCCCGCUUCAGUGUCCGGGAAGCGCCGGGUGGGGGAUAGUCACUGGAGAGAAGUUGAGGAGGGCCCCCGCCGUCUUCUCCGCCGGCCUUAGGGCCAAGACCAGGACCAGGCGACAGCGGCAGGCGAAACCGGUCCAGGAACAGGCAGGUGGCAGCGGGGGCGAAGGGCCAGCGCCACAGGUGACUCCCCUCAGAAAAGGAGGUGCAGGAGCGGUGGCCGGGACCCCUAGAAACUGGGCGAGGGAACAGCAAAAAGGCCCGGGUGCCGAAGGUCGGCGGCGCGCGGCGGCAGGGUGGAGAACCCGGACCGGCAGAGCCCGGACGGAAGGACCAGGACACGCGCGGCCUAGAGCCCAGCGAAGGAGGGCGGCGUUCCGCAGACCGACGUUACCUGCGGAGGCUGCGGCUCCUCGCGGGGCCGCGCGAAGGCCUGGCCUCCGCUCGCUCCCGCCCGCCUGUCGGCUUUGCGAUCCAGCUCCGGGUGACGAGGGGAGGGAUGGGAGAGACUUGCUUGGCUCCAAAAGCGGCUCCCAGGCUCCACUCCGCUCCCCUCCCAUUCACCUCUCACCUCCUACCUUUCCCCUCCUACCGUCCCGCCCACUGUGCCUUCAACUCCUCCCCAAUCUCCUAGCUCCUCCUCUUCCCGGCCCACGCACGUGCUUCCGCACGCCGGCCGCGGCGCCUCCAGCCACGCCCUCUCCCCGCCUCUCGUUGGUGCGCACGCGCAGGUCCACCGGCGUUGGAGAGGCUUUGAGAAGGUGGGCGAGGCUCACGCCCUCCUAA
rnacentral:lncRNA from 1 species